rnacentral:rRNA from 1 species
UACGAAGGGUGCAAGCGUUACUCGGAAUUACUGGGCGUAAAGGGUGCGUAGGUGGUUGUUUAAGUCUGUUGUGAAAGCCCCGGGCUCAACCUGGGAAUGGCAAUGGAUACUGGACAGCUAGAGUGCGGUAGAGGGUAGUGGAAUUCCCGGUGUAGCAGUGAAAUGCGUAGAGAUCGGGAGGAACACCUGUGGCGAAAGCGGCUCACUGGACCACAACUGACGCUGAGGAGCGAAAGCGUGGGGAGCGAACAGG